GCUUGGCGGGUUGAAAUGAUGGGCCCAGCCCACCAAUUUGUGAUGGGCCAAUGGGCUGGCCCGCGGGCCACGACCCACUUUUCCAUCCCUACAUAUGGAAUCGUGAACCUGAUAGAGUUCUUAGUAUUAGAAGAACUACCAAAAGUGGUCAUCAAGAUGGGUCAAUUCCUGAUGAAGUUAGACCUUAUCUUGCACAAGAAGGGAUGUUGGGAGUGACUGAAAUGUCAUACUUUCCUAUUGACCACCAGUUAAUUUCAGCAUUAGUUGAGUGGUGGAGACCUGAAACACACACUUUUCACAUGACAUUUGGAGAGUGUACAAUUACAUUGGAAGAUGUUUCAAUUUUUCUUGAUCUUAAGGUACAUGGAGACCCAAUUACUGGUUGUUCGACAUAUAGAUGGGUUCCACUUGUUAAAGAUUUAUUCGGAAUUACACCACCAACAACUUCAAUUAAAGGUGGAAAGUUGAAGAUGAGUUGGGUCGAUCAAUACUUUUUUGAUGUUUCCAUGCAUGUACACAUCAUGCAACAAAUAGAACGAUAUGCCCGAGCUUAUAUUUUGCGAUUUCUUGGGGGUAAGUUAUUCUCUGACAAGUCUUCAACUCUAGUACUGAUGCGAUAUUUGGUCAUGUUAACAAAUUUAGACCAAUACUUAGUUGGGGAUCAGCCUUGCUUGGUCAUUUAUAUAGAGAACCGUGUGUUGCCACUAAUUAUGACAAUAAAGAAAUUAGUGGGGCAUGUGUUUUACUCCAAUUGUGGGCAUGGUACCGGAUGCCAUAUUUUGCACUGCUGUCUGCACCACUAAAUAUUGUUGGCGUUCCUUUAGGUGCAAGGUGGAAUAGUGUCAUGCAGGUAACGCAAAGAACUCUUGUUCAGAUUCGUGAUGCAUUAGAUAAGAUGAAGGAUAAAGAUGUACGUUGAGAGUUUUUAUUGAUUACAACUUUAAAGUGGAUAUCUUAAAAUUAGUAUUAAUUUAUGACUUUUUGUAUUUUUUAUGUGUAGUUUGUUUGGCAUACCUUCAAUAUUUUCAUUCUCUACCACCAUAUUGUGUAGAUAACACAAAUAUUUGGAGGGCGGUAGUGCCAUUAAUUGACUUUCAUAUAAUUGAGUAUCACCAUGAUGACUGUGUGAUGCGCCAAUUUGGUAUGGUACAACACAUUCCUCGUCCUCCACAUCAACUAGAUAAUUUGCACUAUCUAACUUUACGCUGUCUUUGUACAUGAGUGGGAAACAAUAUUAGAUUGUGUCUGGACACAAGAAGCUUGUACUACUACAUGAUUAAGUAGUAGUUCAGAGUACAUGGUGUGGUAUUAUAGACACACCAGACGUUGGAUUGGACAUAUUACUGCAAAACAAGGUUAUGUAGUAAGUCAUAUAUAACAAUACAUGUUUUAUAAUUAAUUGUUUUGGUUACUUAUAUUUUUGUUUUAUAUUAAGUUGAACAUGUAAACUUCACAUUAAUUUAUUUACAGGAGGACACUAUUGAGGAAAUGUAUCAUAAAGCCAAAACAGAACCUAGAAGUAGUUUUUCAAUGGAAGAAUUGACUAAUAACCUUGCUAACUGCUUAGAGGUUUAUGGUGAAUUCCAUCGACUUUAAUAUCCCUUUACAGGUGCUCCACCACCAUCACAAGACAAGCUUGAACUAGUUGUUGUGAUGCAAAUUGGUGCAAGCCGAUGAUAGGGUCGUGGCCUUGGACGUAGUUGCAGGUGUGUAGAUCUGUGCCAGCAAAUGACCCCCCUACAGGUAGUUAUUACGCUUGUCCAAUGACACCAUCCAGGGGUUAUAGUCAGUAUGUAUAUACUUCAGGUGAUACUAGUAGAGAAAGUCCUACUUCUGCUGCUUAUGUUUCAUUUCCAUGUGAAACAUAUUUACCACCUUCAUCUGGUGCAUAUGUUCCUUCUCCACCAUCAUACACUCCAGAUGCUUAUAUGAGCAACGUGAUGACUCCAUCAGCACCUUAUUAUCCAUUUAGAUAUGGUGGAGAUGAUAUGCAUGGUACUUCUUUAGGCGGAACUUCUUUUACAGUCAUGGUUCCUUCUAUCUCUCGCGCAUAACUUUAAUGGCUGCGUCAACUCGUUCUCCUAUUGGGAUCCUCAUAUGAAUGUGUUUCGAUUUGAUUGUGCCUUCUACCAAGUGAAUUUUGCCAUUGUUCUCUUUAGCCGAAGCUUGAUGGUGUAGGAGUUUAUGAGUAAUACUCAAUUUCAGAUCUAGAAUUAUUAGCAGAGGUCACAUCUAAUUGGAAAAUAACUUUGGUUGUUGCAACAUUCAUUUUGGCAAGUUAUAUACA